rnacentral:rRNA from 1 species
CAGUAGCCGCGGGAAUACAGAGGGUGCGAGCGUUAAUCGGAUUUACUGGGCGUAAAGCGUGCGUAGGCGGCUUUUUAAGUCGGAUGUGAAAUCCCUGAGCUUAACUUAGGAAUUGCAUUCGAUACUGGGAAGCUAGAGUAUGGGAGAGGAUGGUAGAAUUCCAGGUGUAGCGGUGUAAUGCGUAGAGAUCUGGAGGAAUACCGAUGGCGAAGGCAGCCAUCUGGCCUAAUACUGACGCUGAGGUACGAAAGCAUGGGGAGCAAACAGGAUUAGAUACCCCGGUAGUCCCUGUAUCUUAUAC